rnacentral:rRNA from 1 species
CAGCCGCCGCGGUAAAACGAAGGGGGCUAGCGUUGUUCGGAAUUACUGGGCGUAAAGCGCACGCAGGCGGCUCGAUAAAUUAGAAGUGAAAGCCUUGGGCUUAACCUGAGAAUUGCUUUUAAGACUGUCGAGCUAGAAUCCAGAAGAGGGUAGUGGAAUUCCGAGUGUAGAGGUGAAAUUCGUAGAUAUUCGGAAGAACACCAGUGGCGAAGGCGACUACCUGGUCUGGCAUUGACGCUCAUGUGCGAAAGCGUGGGGAGCAAACAGGAUUAGAUACCCCAGUAGUCCCUGUCUCUUAUAC